GGCUGCAACUCGCCUACACGAAGUUGGAAUUGCUAGUAAUCGUGGAUCAGCAUGCCACGGUGAAUACGUUCCCGGGUCUUGUACACACCGCCCGUCACACCAUGGGAGCUGGUAACACUCGAAGUCAGUAGUCUAACCGCAAGGAGGACGCUGCCGAAGGUGGGAUUAGCGACUGGGGUGAAGUCGUAACAAGGUAAC
rnacentral:rRNA from 1 species